ACGCAGCUCAGUUGCCUCCCCAUCGGCCGCACAGAGCCCACCCCCAUCCCUCAUGGUGAGCUAUUGGACGGCGACCAAAGCGAGGGCGACGGCGAGGGGAUGUUGGGUUGGCGUGGCUCCCCAUGGCCGCCGAGGGGACGAGCAGGCGGAGGUCCUCGAUAAACGCAAUGACGACCAGGAGGUCGGGGUCGAGGGGACAUCCUCGACCGCGCCCGUAGAGGAGAGCCUCAUCCUCGACCGCGCCCAGCACCGGCGAGCUCGACGGAGGAGCCGCGUCGAGGAAGGCAAGGUGGGAAAGGAGCUCGGAGGAGCCGCUCCGAGAUGCGGCGGCUGCUUGGCGGUGCCCGGAGCGACACGAACGGGCGCGUCCCGUGCUGGUGCGGACGAGGCCGUCACGGCCUAGCUCGAGCGGCGCCCGGCCACAGGGCCGAGAUGCGGUGGCCGUUGGCGGCGCUCAGCGCGACGUGGACAGGCACGUCCCACACUGAUGCGAGCGCGCCGCCAUGGACCACGACCCUCCCAUCCAUCUUCAGGGGAAACGGGGCGAUCUGGAGGCUGUUCGAGCGCUGGGAAGAUCGUACGGAACGAAAAUCGUUCGGUAGUUGCUGUUGGGAAACCGGGUCACCUGGAGAGGGGUGGGGGCGGCCGCGUGCAAAGCGCACGGGCUGGCCCCUCCCGUUUCUCCUCUUUUCUGUUAAGUGGGUACUUAUCCCUUGACCCUGGUCCAUAUAUAAAGCAACGAGGAGCUAUCAUUGUAAUCUUUGAUCAUUGAUUCAUAAAGCUGGUCUCCUCCA